GGAAGAGAAUCGUCCCUGGUGGGGCGGCCGGGCUUCAAACCCGGUUGGGGGCGCUAUGCGCUCCCGGGUGGGUUCGACUCCCAUUCUCUUCCG
rnacentral:tRNA from 1 species